rnacentral:rRNA from 1 species
AGCGAACGCUGGCGGCAGGCCUAACACAUGCAAGUCGAACGAACCUUUCGGGGUUAGUGGCGGACGGGUGAGUAACACGUGGGAACGUGCCUUUAGGUUCGGAAUAACUCAGGGAAACUUGUGCUAAUACCGAAUGUGCCCUUCGGGGGAAAGAUUUAUCGCCUUUAGAGCGGCCCGCGUCUGAUUAGCUAGUUGGUUGAGGUAAUGGCUCACCAAGGCGACGAUCAGUAGCUGGUCUGAGAGGAUGAUCAGCCACAUUGGAGCUGAGACACGGCCCAAACUCCUACGGGAGGCAGCAGUGGGGAAUCUUGCGCAAUGGGCGAAAGCCUGACGCAGCCAUGCCGCGUGAAUGAUGAAGGUCUUAGGAUUGUAAAAUUCUUUCAACGGGGACGAUAAUGACGGUACCCGGAGAAGAAGCCCCGGCUAACUUCGUG